rnacentral:lncRNA from 1 species
CUUGAUUUGCAUGAGUUCUUUUAUCUAUAUAUAUAUAUAUAUAUAUAUAUAUAUAUAUAUAAAUACACAUCAUAAACUAUCAUUAAUGAUUCUACUAUUUUAAGUCGUCAAACGAUUACAAAUUUCAUAUUGAGAUGUUGGAUAACACUAAAUUAAUAAGUUGCUUAGUUCUUCUUGUUUUGGCCACGCGUCUCAGCAGGGACAGAGUCGGAACUCCGGUGACUUAAAAGUAAAAAAAAGGAGAUUGCGGGGCGUGUCACCUCGCGGACGAGGAAAGAAAUGCGCUGCGGCUAGACUUCUAAACAAACGAAGAAGGGGUUACCGGUGCCACCUCGCGGACGAGGGAUUACGAGUAAAACCUCUUGUCACAUGUGAAUCGAUACUCACUGUUAGAGCGAGCAGAGCAACAAAUAGGGAGAAAGGCGAAUCAGGAAGGGGUCUGAGAACUAAGGCGAAGUGCACUUAGAACUUAGGAUUUCGAGGAUGCUCGAGGGUUUGUACUUGUUUUUGUAUGAUUGAUUGUGUGUUAUGAUUGUGUCAAGCUCCCUUAUAUAGCGAUCCGCAAGCAAUUCGCAGAGACCUAAUCACAACCCAUUCGGACUCAGCAAUUAGAAUUCCACAAGGAUAUGACCAGCUCGCGAGCCACGCGAUCCAUGCAACACGUGUCCAGAACAGACCUCGCCUAGGUCUCGCUCACCGCCCCGCAUCAUCUCACUGUAGUGUCGUACACGAACUCGAAUACUAAGCGAUCCUAUCCCGCGGAGUACUACAGUCCAUUUCCAACUCUACCUCGCCAUGCACUGCAGAAUCCUACACGAACUGAAACAAAGGAUCCUGCGAGGACAUCGAAUCCCGCGGGGUAUCAGAAUCCUUGCAAAACUCCAGCUCGCGUGUUGCCAAACCUCGCCACCCUUCGUGGGCUUCACAUUAAAAAAGGGCCACAGGUACUGGCCCAAAUGUUAUCCAAAACGUACCCAGAGUCUUGGACCAAAAUACCCACUGGGCUCAAACACUUCUGAUUAACAAAGAUCGAUUCUGAUUAAUUUAUAUAGCAUUCAUGGGAAAAAUAUAUUUUAACAUCAUAACGACUAAUGACCCAGUUAGUAUAUAGAUGCUAUAUAAUCAUGGAUAUUCGAUCGUAAUCAUUUUAUUCUCACUUAUAAGUUAUAACUGCGGUUUAAUUUUAAAAACCAAGUCUUUACUCCUUAAAGAACUUGCUAGCUUAUAUGAUUUAGGGUUCGUACUUUGUAGUUCUUUCAAACUCUCUCAACUGAGAGAUAUCCAAUAUAUCAUGCAGUAGAGGACAAAAUAUAUUCCCAUGUUUCACCAAUAAUUUCAUUUUCAUGUUUCACCAGCACGUUAUACAAGAUAAACUUCUGUAUAUUUGAAGCCCGUAGAUAUAUAUGCCCAAGCUAUUAAUCUGCAUACCCAUGCCAGGCUAGAGGAAUAUAGAAGUAUGAAACA